rnacentral:misc_RNA from 1 species
UAACAAGGAAAAAAGCAGGAAAAGAGAAAGUUUAUUUCAAAUCAAGAAUAGCUAGCACCGUAGCUUGAAUCUCCCAACACUCGUUCUUUUUGUGGCCAAUAAGAGUGGAAAUGAGAACCUCUGAGUCAGCCUCAAACACAACCGAAUCAAUUUCCAUCUUCUUGGCAAGUUUCAAAGCUUCCAACAGUGCCAUUGCUUCCCUUGCUAUUGGAGAAUUACACCUUAACUGUCUCACCAUACCAUUAACUAAUUUACCAUUGCAAUUUCUGAUAAUUACAGCUACUGUCCACCUUAUUUCUACCCUUCCAAGCUAUGUCAGAAUUAAAUUUAAAAGUACCUCUCAAUGGAGGCACCCAUCUUGAAGGAACACGAAUAUGGGCGCUCUGAGAUAAAACAGGGCUCCUGUAAACCACCAAGGAGAGAUCAUGGAAGCUUUCUCGAAUAUUCCUGAUAGCAAACAGGGAUUUGGAUCUCCAUUCUCAAAAAUAG